UACAGAGGGUGCGAGCGUUAAUCGGAAUUACUGGGCGUAAAGCGUGCGUAGACGGUCUUGUAAGUCGGGUGUGAAAUCCCCGGGCUCAACCUGGGAAUUGCAUUCGAGACUGCAAGGCUUGGGUGCGGAAGAGGGAAGCGGAAUUUCCGGUGUAGCGGUGAAAUGCGUAGAUAUCGGAAGGAACAUCAGUGGCGAAAGUGGCUUCCUGGUCCAGCACCGACGUUCAGGCACGAAAGCGUGGGGAGCAAACAGG
rnacentral:rRNA from 1 species